AGCAGGUAUUGGAUAGCUACCCCGCCCUUUUUUAAAAAAAGGCAGGGAGGAAAGUCCGAACACAGUCCUGACCGCAAGGUCGGAAAAGACGGUAGUGGGUAACACCCGCAUAUAGCGAUAUAUAGGUGCGAGCAGAGACGUUCUUGAGUGAAAACAAGAGAGCACCCCGAGAACAAUCGAGGGGCGAAUCCCUAUAGUAAUAUAGGGGGUGAAACGGCUAAAUCCUUACCCCUGUGCAAGAUCGUGCCCAAGCUCCAUUUCAACAAAAGUGGGACUGGGAGAAUCGCUUGAGCCCGAGCGUAAGCGAGGGCCUAGAUAAAUUGCUAUCAUUCUCCGCGCAAGCGAAGAAAACAGAAUUCGGCUUAUAAAUACCUGCAGAAA
rnacentral:RNase_P_RNA from 4 species